rnacentral:lncRNA from 1 species
UCAACUUGCGAUAGAAAGGAAAGAAAGAAGGAGAUCGACGAAAAAGAAGAAGAGGAGGGAGAGUAAGGAUGCUGUUGUCCGUGGCAGGUGGAGAAGGAGGCUCGUUCGAGGCGCGGUGGCGAUGGCUGGUGGAAGAGCAGAGGCCGACGAGUACAACAGCAACGAUGGCGGCAGUGAACGGCAAAAAAGAAAAACAGAGAAGAGGCAGCAGCUGUUCGACGCCGUACAUGGCGGUAAUGGCAGCUGAGUUGGGUGGCGAUCAACUCAUCUAGGCAUGGGCUUUCCGUUUGGGGGCAGCAGCAGCGUUGAAGGCGGUCGGAGAAAGAAAAUCUGACGAGGUGAAUAGUAUAGUGGCAGUUGGGUUUUUCUUGAUUCUUGGCGAGUUCCGGCAAGGUAUAGUUGAUCAGAGUUCAUGGGUGAACUCCCCUCAGCUCAAGCUUUCCAAUGGCACUAAUUUUGCAGCGAUCGAACUCCGUUUGAAAAUCGACGGUCGAUACUGUCUGUGAAUUUCUCCGGAUGACAGGAGCUGGAUCAGAGAAUCGAGUGCUAGAAUCAUCGUCUGCAUGUUGUGCCGAGUCCGUAGGCGCGCUCGGAUCGUCAAUCAGACUCCGGCGGCUGAAGGCGAGUCGACCGAUUAUCAAGCGUCUUGGUAAUUCUCAGCACAAAAUAUUGUACCAUAGGACCAUAUUUUUUGGAUAAGAAAUAUCAUGCACUCUUAUUAGUAAAUAGAAAGAAAAAAAUUAGCCAAAUGCAUGUUUGGACAUCUA